AUUGAACGCUGGCGGCAUGCCUUACACAUGCAAGUCGAACGGUAACGGGUCCUUCGGGAUGCCGACGAGUGGCGAACGGGUGAGUAGUAUAUCGGAACGUGCCCAGUAGUGGGGGAUAACUGCUCGGAAGAGCAGCUAAUACCGCAUACGACCUGAGGGUGAAAGGGGGGGAUCGCAAGACCUCUCGCUAUUGGAGCGGCCGAUAUCAGAUUAGCUAGUUGGUGGGGUAAGGGCCUACCAAGGCAACGAUCUGUAGUUGGUCUGAGAGGACGACCAGCCACACUGGGACUGAGACACGGCCCAGACUCCUACGGGAGGCAGCAGUGGGGAAUUUUGGACAAUGGGCGCAAGCCUGAUCCAGCAAUGCCGCGUGCAGGAAGAAGGCCUUCGGGUUGUAAACUGCUUUUGUCAGGGAAGAAAUCUUCUGGGCUAAUACCCCGGGAGGAUGACGGUACCUGAAGAAUAAGCACCGGCUAACUACGUGCCAGCCGCCGCGGUAA
rnacentral:rRNA from 1 species